CUGGCGGCGUGCUUACCAUGCAUUCGAACGAUGAACCACUUCGGUGGGGAUUACUGGCGAACGGGUGAGUAACACGUGGGCAAUCUGCCCUUCACUCUGGGACAAGCCCUGGAAACGGGGUCUAAUACCGGAUAUCACUCCCGCAGGCAUCUGCGGGUGUCGAAAGCUCCGGCGGUGAAGGAUGAGCCCGCGGCCUAUCAGCUUGUUGGUGAGGUAAUGGCUCACCAAGGCGACGACGGGUAGCCGGCCUGAGAGGGCGACCGGCCACACUGGGACUGAGACACGGCCCAGACUCCUACGGGAGGCAGCAGUGGGGAAUAUUGCACAAUGGGCGAAAGCCUGAUGCAGCGACGCCGCGUGAGGGAUGACGGCCUUCGGGUUGUAAACCUCUUUCAGCAGGGAAGAAGCGAAAGUGACGGUACCUGCAGAAGAAGCGCCGGCUAACUACGUGCCAGCAGCCGCGGUAAUACGUAGGGCGCAAGCGUUGUCCGGAAUUAUUGGGCGUAAAGAGCUCGUAGGCGGCUUGUCACGUCGGGUGUGAAAGCCCGGGGCUUAACCCCGGGUCUGCAUUCGAUACGGGCUAGCUAGAGUGUGGUAGGGGAGAUCGGAAUUCCUGGUGUAGCGGUGAAAUGCGCAGAUAUCAGGAGGGACACCGGUGGCGAAAGCGGAUCUCUGGGGCAUUACUGACGCUGAGGAGCGAAAGCGUGGGGAGCGAACAGGAUUAGAUACCCUGGUAGUCCACGCCCCGUAACGGUGGGAACUAGUUGUUG
rnacentral:rRNA from 1 species